rnacentral:rRNA from 1 species
AACGAACGCUGGCGGCAGGCCUAACACAUGCAAGUCGAACGCUGUAGCAAUACAGAGUGGCAGACGGGGGAGUAACGCGUGGGAACCUUCCCAGUGGUACGGAAUAGCUCAGGGAAACUUGAGGUAAUACCGUAUAAGCCCCUAGGGGGAAAGAUUUAUCGCAAUUGGAUGGGCCCGCGUCGGAUUAGCUAGUUGGAGAGGUAAUGGCUCACCAAGGCGACGAUCCGUAGCUGGUUUGAGAAAAUAACCAGCCACACUGGGACUGAGACACGGCCCAGACUCCUACGGGAGGCAGCAGUGGGGAAUAUUGGACAAUGGGCGCAAGCCUGAUCCAGCCAUGCCGCGUGAGUGACGAAGGCCUUAGGGUUGUAAAGCUCUUUUAGCAGGGACGAUAAUGACGGUACCUGCAGAAUAAGCUCCGGCUAACUUCGUGCCAGCCGCCGCAGUAA